rnacentral:rRNA from 1 species
ACAAGCGGUGGAGUAUGUGGUUUAAUUCGAUGCAACGCGAAGAACCUUACCUGGUCUUGACAUCCCGGAGACCCUUAGGAAACUAGGGGUGCUUCCAUCUGGAAGAAUCUGGAGACAGGUGCUGCAUGGCUGUCGUCAGCUCGUGUCGUGAGAUGUUGGGUUAAGUCCCGCAACGAGCGCAACCCUUGCCUUUAGUUGCCAGCAGUUCGGCUGGGCACUCUAAAGGGACUGCCGGUGUUAAACCGGGGGAAGGUGGGGAUGACGUCAAGUCCUCAUGGCCUUUAUGACCAGGGCUACACACGUACUACAAUGGCCGAUACAAAGGGCAGCGACACUGCGAGGUGAAGCCAAUCCCGUAAAAUCGGUCUCAGUCCGGAUUGGAGUCUGCAACUCGACUCCAUGAAGUUGGAAUCGCUAGUAAUCGUGGAUCAGCAUGCCACGGUGAAUACGUUCCCGGGCCUU